rnacentral:rRNA from 1 species
CUGGGUGGCGGCGUGCCUAAUACUGCAAGUCGAGCGAAUGGAUUGAGAGCUUGCUCUYAUGAAGUUAGCGGCGGACGGGUGAGUAACACGUGGGUAACCUGCCCAUAAGACUGGGAUAACUCCGGGAAACCGGGGCUAAUACCGGAUAACAUUUUGAACUGCAUGGUUCGAAAUUGAAAGGCGGCUUCGGCUGUCACUUAUGGAUGGACCCGCGUCGCAUUAGCUAGUUGGUGAGGUAACGGCUCACCAAGGCAACGAUGCGUAGCCGACCUGAGAGGGUGAUCGGCCACACUGGGACUGAGACACGGMCCAGACUCCUACGGGAGGCAGCAGUAGGGAAUCUUCCGCAAUGGACGAAAGUCUGACGGAGCAACGCCACGKGAGUGAUGAAGGCUUUCGGGUCGUAAAACUCUUUUGUUAGGGAAGAACAAGUGCUAGUUGAAUAAGCUGGCACCUUGACRGUACCUAACCAGAAAGCCACGGCYAACUACSUGCCAGCAGCCNGGGUAAUACA